rnacentral:lncRNA from 1 species
AAUUUCUGAAUAUCUGUCAAAAGAAAAGUUGAAGGGAAAUUCUGUGAAUACUGUGCUCAACAGUGCUGUGCAGGAGGAUAAUGAGAUUAGAACUGAUGAAACAAAGACUCAUAACCGUAGAGACAGUAGUUGAUGUAAUGGGGGCGGUAGAGAGUUCCUGGAACAGAGUCUAGACUAAGAGAGAGAGAUUAGAAAGUCUAGGAUAGAAGCUUGUAACCUGUCUAUAUCUGAAGAGCAUGGAAAACACAAAACAAGUGGUGAAAGUUGCUAUCCUAGGAAAAUAUGAAGAUUGUGCCAUGAGACAAGGUAAGCCAUGGUAUUAAAAUUAGGCAGAAGAAAUAUCAGGAGACUGCAGGCAAUUUCCUGGAAUCAUGAUGAUUCACACAAGCCCAUGUCUACUUCUACAAAACUAAAGGACUGCAUGAGAUCCAGCUGCGCUGAAGAAAUAGGAGAUAAUGAAGCAUUUAUGCCACAUUUCUACCAUUGGAGGAGUAGCCCUGUGGUUUGGGUG